rnacentral:misc_RNA from 1 species
GGAGGUAAAUUUCUUCUAAA